rnacentral:rRNA from 1 species
GCAAGUCGAACGAAGCAUUUAGAACGGAUUACUUCGGUUUGAAGUUCUUUAUGACUGAGUGGCGGACGGGUGAGUAACGCGUGGGUAACCUGCCUUGUACUGGGGGAUAGCAGCUGGAAACGGCUGGUAAUACCGCAUAAGCGCACAAUGUUGCAUGACAUGGUGUGAAAAACUCCGGUGGUAUAAGAUGGACCCGCGUCUGAUUAGCUAGUUGGUGAGAUAACAGCCCACCAAGGCGACGAUCAGUAGCCGACCUGAGAGGGUGACC